GAUGAAGAACGUAGCGAAAUGCGAUACGUAAUGUGAAUUGCAGAAUUCAGUGAAUCAUCGAAUCUUUGAACGCAUAUUGCGCUCUCUGGUAUUCCGGAGAGCAUGCUUGUUUGAGUAUCAGUAAACACCUCAACUUCCAUAUCUUUUUUGAAAUGGGAGUUGGACUUGAGUGAUCCCAACGCUUUUCCUCACCGAAAAGUGGCGGGUUACUUGAAAUGCAGGUGCAGCUGGACUUUUCUCUGAGCUAUAAGCAUAUCUAUUUAGUCUGCCUAAAAAACAGAUUAUUACCUUUGCUGCAGCUAACAUAAAGGAGAUUAGUUCUUGUGCUGACUGAUGCAGGAUUCACAAAGACAGGCUUCGGCCGACUUUGUAAACUCGAUCUCAAAUCAAGUAAGACUACCCGCUGAACUUAAGCAUAUCAAUUAAGCGGAGGA
rnacentral:misc_RNA from 1 species